GGACGAACGCUGGCGGCGUGCCUAAUACAUGCAAGUCGAACGAACUCUGGUAUUGAUUGGUGCUUGCAUCAUGAUUUACAUUUGAGUGAGUGGCGAACUGGUGAGUAACACGUGGGAAACCUGCCCAGAAGCGGGGGAUAACACCUGGAAACAGAUGCUAAUACCGCAUAACAACUUGGACCGCAUGGUCCGAGUUUGAAAGAUGGCUUCGGCUAUCACUUUUGGAUGGUCCCGCGGCGUAUUAGCUAGAUGGUGAGGUAACGGCUCACCAUGGCAAUGAUACGUAGCCGACCUGAGAGGGUAAUCGGCCACAUUGGGACUGAGACACGGCCCAAACUCCUACGGGAGGCAGCAGUAGGGAAUCUUCCACAAUGGACGAAAGUCUGAUGGAGCAACGCCGCGUGAGUGAAGAAGGGUUUCGGCUCGUAAAACUCUGUUGUUAAAGAAGAACAUAUCUGAGAGUAACUGUUCAGGUAUUGACGGUAUUUAACCAGAAAGCCACGGCUAACUACGUGCCAGCAGCCGCGGUAAUACGUAGGUGGCAAGCGUUGUCCGGAUUUAUUGGGCGUAAAGCGAGCGCAGGCGGUUUUUUAAGUCUGAUGUGAAAGCCUUCGGCUCAACCGAAGAAGUGCAUCGGAAACUGGGAAACUUGAGUGCAGAAGAGGACAGUGGAACUCCAUGUGUAGCGGUGAAAUGCGUAGAUAUAUGGAAGAACACCAGUGGCGAAGGCGGCUGUCUGGUCUGUAACUGACGCUGAGGCUCGAAAGUAUGGGUAGCAAACAGGAUUAGAUACCCUGGUAGUCCAUACCGUAAACGAUGAAUGCUAAGUGUUGGAGGGUUUCCGCCCUUCAGUGCUGCAGCUAACGCAUUAAGCAUUCCGCCUGGGGAGUACGGCCGCAAGGCUGAAACUCAAAGGAAUUGACGGGGGCCCGCACAAGCGGUGGAGCAUGUGGUUUAAUUCGAAGCUACGCGAAGAACCUUACCAGGUCUUGACAUACUAUGCAAAUCUAAGAGAUUAGACGUUCCCUUCGGGGACAUGGAUACAGGUGGUGCAUGGUUGUCGUCAGCUCGUGUCGUGAGAUGUUGGGUUAAGUCCCGCAACGAGCGCAACCCUUAUUAUCAGUUGCCAGCAUUAAGUUGGGCACUCUGGUGAGACUGCCGGUGACAAACCGGAGGAAGGUGGGGAUGACGUCAAAUCAUCAUGCCCCUUAUGACCUGGGCUACACACGUGCUACAAUGGAUGGUACAACGAGUUGCGAACUCGCGAGAGUAAGCUAAUCUCUUAAAGCCAUUCUCAGUUCGGAUUGUAGGCUGCAACUCGCCUACAUGAAGUCGGAAUCGCUAGUAAUCGCGGAUCAGCAUGCCGCGGUGAAUACGUUCCCGGGCCUUGUACACACCGCCCGUCACACCAUGAGAGUUUGUAACACCCAAAGUCGGUGGGGUAACCUUUUAGGAACCAGCCGCCUAAGGUGGGACAGAUGAUU
rnacentral:rRNA from 1 species